AUACUUACCUGGUGUCGGGAAGCCUGUGAUCAAUGCGGCAGGCUCCCCGGGUGGAGGCCAAGACAUUGCACUGCGUUUUGGUUGAAACCCGCCACUUCCCCAAAUCGGGGUAGCUGGGACAUGCAAUUUUUGGUAGAGGGGGCUUGCGUACGCGCUCGUCCCCG